rnacentral:lncRNA from 1 species
GUUUGAUUAUAAUGUUUUCAAAAGAAUGAUGAAAACUAGUUUGUAUUAGUUCUCUGUUUCCUAGGGAAGGAAAACAUUUAAAGUGUAAAAUACAAUUAUAAAAAAGUAUCAGUUGACAACAAAGAUUCAAAUCAUUGAUAUACAAAUUGUACCAGUAUGAUUUUACAGCCGAUAGCAUUGAGUGUGUAGGUAAAGGUAAUAUCUUUGGUUAGCCAGGUUGCUAGCUGAACCGUGAAGUCAUUAUUAGGUAAGAUAUAUUACCCUUCUUUCAAAGUACCCUAGUCUUACAGACAGAUAGAUUGGUUAUCUGUCAGACUAGUCUACUCUAAAAGGAGGGUAGUUUACCUAACCUAAUAAUGACUUCACGGUUCAGCUAACAAGCAAGUUAACCAACGAUAUUACCUUUACCUACACACUCAAUGCAAUCGGCUGAAAUAGAUUUGUUCAAUUCAAUCAAGUCUUCAAAUAAAUCGAAUUUAAACAAUGAUAUAGUAGCUUCUGGUGAAAUAUAAGAUAUUUCCAGAU